AUUACCAUCAGAUGAGAGCUGGAGUUCAGGAUUACCCUCAGAUGAGAGCUGGAGUUCAGGAUUACCCUCAGAUGAGAGCUGGAGUUCAGGAUUACCAUCAUCAGAAAAACAGAGCUGGAGUUCAGGAUUCCCAUGAAGUUGAAGACUACUCAAGUUUUCUGAACUGGCAGGCCCAGGAAGUGAGGUUGGCAGUGAGGGAAUAGGUUGAGAAGGUGGUGGAGAAGUUGAGACAGGAUUUGAGGGAGGAUGUUACUGUGGCUGUUGGUGCGGCAUUAGCCAAAAUUGACCAACCUCAGUCCAUAGAAUCUGCUAUAGAAUUCCCUGAAGUCAACGAAAAAGAAGAUCUGAA